rnacentral:rRNA from 1 species
GACGGAGGGUGCUAGCGUUGUUCGGAAUCACUGGGCGUAAAGGGCGCGUAGGCGGCCUUGCAAGUCGGUUGGUGAAAGCCCGGGGCUCAACCCCGGAGGUGCGGCCGAGACUGCAGGGCUGGAGGCCGGAAGAGGAGGGUGGAGUACCACGUGUGAGAGCGGUGAAAUGCGAUAGAUAUCGGGAGGAACGACCUGAGAUGUAGAUGGCUACUGGACCGUAACUGACGCUGAGGCACGAAAGCGUGGGUAGCAAACAGG